rnacentral:misc_RNA from 1 species
CCGAUCUCACUUCGUGGUUGACGGUGAGGGUCUCUUUCUUGUUGAUUUAUAUUUCUCAUCAAUUUCGACGAUCAGAACCGUCUUUGUUGUCAACUUUUUAGAUUCGUCGGUGUGAAGUGUACUUGCUGUAGAGGUGUCUAUUAGACCUUUCCAAUAUUUACCAUGGAUUGGGCGAGCGUUUCGAGACGAAACGUAUUUGAUUUGCAGGUUUUCUCUUGCAAGGAGGUGAUCAGUUUUAGCUAUGCAGAUCGCUAUUCUGCCUAACGAGUAUCCGUAGGGCUGGAAGCAAGAUAGAGAGCCGAUUUGCUGUGCAGUAAAGAGUAACAUGGAGCUUAAUGGUGACUUCGAACGCAUCGAGCAGCUGUUUUAACCAAAGAAGAUCACAAGUAGUAUCAGCUAAAGCUCGAUAUUCAGCCUCUGUACUGCUGCGACUAACAACACCUUGCUUCUUAGACUUCCAAGAUACGAUAGAGCCACCAGGAGACACAAUAGGUGAAGAGAUAACCUGAAAUGGGAAAGAUGGCCGACUUGGAGGCAUAUAUAAAGAAGAGCCUAGGCAAGGAAGAAUCAAGAACUUCAGGGAAAGUUAGGUUUUUCUGGUUUUUCUCUGAUUACAAAAAUCGACGGUGUGAAUUUCGGUUCCUACAGUCAUGAUUAUGCGGGAUGCUUCAACUUCAAGUUACUCUUGUCUGCCAUUUUACCUUGUUCAUCAAACAAAAUCAGUUUAAAAAGAACAAGAUUAUAUGAACUAAAGGAACAUCGAUUACUUCAAAGAGUACACAACCGACACAAGCGAUUACUGUUUAUAUUCAAGACUUCAUUACAUUCAAUAAAAAAACUAAAUCAUUAGGUAGAUCCUCUCAUAUCUUAC